rnacentral:hammerhead_ribozyme from 1 species
AUCCAGCUGAUGAGUUCCAAGUUAGACGAAACGCGCGUCGUGUAU